rnacentral:rRNA from 1 species
CAAAAAGGAGAGGGACUGCUCAGGAUGAACGCUGGCGGUCUGCUUAACACAUGCAAGUCGAACGGAAUCCUUCGGGAUUUAGUGGCGGACGGGUGAGUAACACGUGAGAAUCUGCACUCAGGAUGGGGACAACAGCGGGAAACUGCUGCUAAUACCCAAUGUGCCGAAAGGUAAAAGAUUUAUCGCCUGAGAAUGAGCUCGCGGCCGAUUAGUUAGUUGGUGGGGUAAUGGCCUACCAAGACGGCGAUCGGUAGCUGGUCUGAGAGGAUGAGCAGCCACACUGGGACUGAGACACGGCCCAGACUCCUACGGGAGGCAGCAGUGGGGAAUUUUCCGCAAUGGGCGCAAGCCUGACGGAGCAAGACCGCGUGGGGGAGGAAGGCUCUUGGGUUGUAAACCCCUUUUCUCAGGGAAGAAGUUCUGACGGUACCUGAGGAAUCAGCCUCGGCUAACUCCGUGCCAGCAGCCGCGGUAAUACGGAGGAGGCAAGCGUUAUCCGGAAUUAUUGGGCGUAAAGCGUCCGUAGGUGGUGGGGCAAGUCGGCGGUUAAAGACUGGGGCUUAACUCCAGAAAGGCCGUGGAAACUGCACCACUAGAGGGCAGUAGGGGUAGAGGGAAUUCCCGGUGUAGCGGUGAAAUGCGUAGAGAUCGGGAAGAACACCAGUGGCGAAAGCGCUCUACUGGACUGCAACUGACACUCAGGGACGAAAGCUAGGGGAGCGAAUGGGAUUAGAUACCCCAGUAGUCCUAGCCGUAAACGAUGAACUACGUCCCC